rnacentral:rRNA from 1 species
CGGCGUGCUUAACACAUGCAAGUCGAACGCUGAAGCCCAGCUUGCUGGGUGGAUGAGUGGCGAACGGGUGAGUAACACGUGAGUAACCUGCCCCCUUCUUUGGGAUAACGCCCGGAAACGGGUGCUAAUACUGGAUAUUCACUGAUCUUCGCAUGGGGGUUGGUGGAAAGGUUUUUUCUGGUGGGGGAUGGGCUCGCGGCCUAUCAGCUUGUUGGUGGGGUGAUGGCCUACCAAGGCUUUGACGGGUAGCCGGCCUGAGAGGGUGACCGGUCACAUUGGGACUGAGAUACGGCCCAGACUCCUACGGGAGGCAGCAGUGGGGAAUAUUGCACAAUGGGCGAAAGCCUGAUGCAGCGACGCCGCGUGAGGGAUGGAGGCCUUCGGGUUGUAAACCUCUUUCGCUCAUGGUCAAGCCGCAACGAUGGUUGUGGUGAGGGUAGUGGGUAAAGAAGCGCCGGCUAACUACGUGCCAGCAGCCGCG